rnacentral:lncRNA from 1 species
GGUUCCGAGAAGUCUCCACAAGCAUCCAGGCAAUGGGUGUGUUAGGGGAAUUUCUCUUUACCCUUUCCCUUUCCCAGCUCAGAGUGGCUACUUCUGGAAAGGUGGUUCACAUUGCCUUAGAGAGUGGUCCCCUCUUCUCCCAGUAUCCCCUGAGGUUGGGUUAAAACAGCACGGAUAUUCUAGGACAUCUAUCGAAAGUUCUCCAUACAUGGUCGUCCAAAGUCUGCUUCCAUGGAUUUCUCUUUAAAAUUUGAAGCCCAGACCAGCCUAGCCCUGGAUCAGCAUGAAGACCCAAAGGCGAGUAACCCCAGACUGAGAAGUCUCAACAGGAAGAAAUAUGGGUGACGUGGAGAGGGGUACAGGGUGGCCAGUUUAGAAGCAGCUAUAAGGUAACCGAAGCGGCUCAGAACAAGGACCCUCGAGGGGAGUGGGAGCUACGGAGUAUCCUGGAGAAUGUGAGAGAGGAAUCGGGAGCUGGGGACCUAGAGGAGAGGCUCGGUAUACAGCAAAAUGGGGGCCACCAGGAAGAGACUGCAGUGAAAAUUUUGGAGGAGCGGGGCCAGCGGUACCUGAUCGGUGAAUAGCAUUUGCGAUGGCUGCAUCCCAGACAGAAUGGUCCCAUCCCAGCUCUGGGCCCCAGGCGCUGGGGUUGCAUUUUCUGUGAGCAGGCUAUGGAAGACCCCCAGAAGUGAAACUGACCUCCCGGGCCAAGUGAAUGCAGGCCCCACCUUCUUCCUGCAUCAGCUCCCGGAAUGGGAGGGCUCUAGGCGAUCAAGCCCAGAAGGCUCCUGCCCACCUCUUUGUCCCUUGGCUUGGCAGAGACCUGCUCCUCUGUACAGCGGCCCGCGGGGAUCGCAAAGAGAAAGGGAAACUAACUGAUGGUAGAGAGAAGCUGAUGCCGACCGCGGUGAGGGUAGGACAGACGCCCCAAGGGUGGCCCCAGGCGUCUCCAUCCAACCUGCCUAGACCAUCCUGUGCCGAGCUUGCAGCCAAAGCUGCCAGUUGAACCAAGGGUUUGACUCUGUAGGUGUUAAGGAGUGGGGACCCUUACAUUUUCUCCCUUCGGCUUAGGAGGGGAGGGGACAGCCUGGCUUCGCAUUUCUAAUUGUGGCUUGGAUUUUGGCACCCUUCACCUCUAAUUUCCCAACUGCCCCAGGUGUGGAGCUAGACUGAGAUCAACGGGGAGCACAAAAAUGGAUCAUUGAUGGCUCCGAAUCAGCCAGCAGCAGGUGGCCGAGCUGGUAUCAGAGCCCGUCAUCCAAGCUUGUUUCCCUGCAGAUGAGGGAGACCGAAAUGAGUUUACUGUUCUCACAGACCUGUGUCUCUCGAGGGCAGUAGCGUGGACCAGUCAAAUGUAGCAAGUGCACGCUUCUGGUUAUUGAGGUUCAGCUAGCGUUCUUUGGAGGAGUGAAUGCACACGGAGUCAAGUAAUCUUCCAGUGGUUUGGGAUACACGUGUGCAGGUAUACACGGUGCUCUCCACAGAGGCUCUGGGCACAGUAGCCAGUUCCUGUAGGGCGAGCGUGUCACAGCGCCCCCAUCUGGUGGAAGGCUAUCCUUAUUUCUUUACAAAGCCAAACUUGUUGAACUUGGUGGGGGAGGGAGUGUGUGUAGUUUUCUACUGUCUUGGAAAACAAAUGGACACAAUAUAACAGCACUAAUGGGAAAUAAUACUUCAGUCGGAAGUAGACACAUAUAAAAAGAAAAUAUAACAAAAGUAGAUCCAGAAAAUGCACCAAACUCAGAUCCAAAGGAGGACAUAGUGCUAAUAAUACCAGCCCUGCAGCCAAGAUAUUCUGUCUCUUUCUUAAUGUGGCCUUUGAUGAUUUAUUUAACAUCCUGAGUCUAAUAUUCUUCAUCUAUAAAUGGGCAUUUUAAAAAAGCUACCUUAUUGGGAUGCUGGCAAGAUAAAAUGUGGUUUAUGUAAGAAACUUAGCAAGUGCCCAAACUGUUAUAAGAAAUGAAUGAAAGAAAUAGCGCCAGUCACUGUAUUUAUUUCUUUAUUACAUGUAUUUGUAUGAGUGUUUGUUUGCACCUAUGUGUAUAUACCAUUCAAAAGAGGGCACCAGGUCCCUGGGUACUGGAGUUCCAGAUGGUUGUGAGCAGCAGUGUGGGUGCUGGGAACUGACCCUGGGUGCUCUUACCUCACCACUGAAUCAUCUCUCCAGCCUGUCCUCUAUCCUCUGACAAGAGAGAUGGGAUGUCUCCUGAAGUGCCUUGGAUGGAAUUUUAAUCGAUCAGUGAACCUGGAAACGACUGCCUUGUACAAGGGUCAUAGUGUGUGUCCUAGAGAAAUUGGAAGUUUUUUGACGGAUCCAUUUCCCUAUCUCCUGUGUGUUUGGUUUAGUGAGAAAUUACUAAAUACCCCUACAGUCGCGAUGCCAUUUUGUAUUCUCCAUGCCAGAUGCCCCCUGCCUGGCAUCUAGUGAUGUCGCUCAUUUCAUCUUAAUCACCAAUGGAUUUAUAGUGAUAUAGUGAGGUGGUUCGGUUGUUUUGCUCUGCUUUGCUUUUUGAGACACACGGUCGCUAGGUAAACAAGGCUGAACUUGGACUCCAGAUCUCUGUGACCCUGCCUCCUCAGGACUGGGGACCACAGGCACAUGGUACUGUGCCUCGCUUUGCUGUGGUCUCCUUGUUCAUCUCCGCGUGGUUAAUGACAGAGAACAGUGCAUUCAGGUGCUUUUCUGCCAUCCCUAGAGAGCUGCAUUAAACAGAUUAGUAAUCUGCAUAAAUAUAUUCAUCUCCUUGACUCUUUCCAUCCUGAAAGCCACUAAGUCCAGCUUUCUCCUUCCUUCCAUUCUGUCUCUGUGAUCUCAACCACAGUAAAGUCACUUGUGUUUCUGCAUAUUUUAUUGUUACUAUUGCUGAGAUGAAACACCAUGACCAAAGCAAUUUGGGGAGGGAAGGGUUCAUUUGGCUUACACUUCCACAUCACUGUUCAUCAUCAAAAGAAGUCAGGGCAGAAACUCAAACAGGGCAGGAACCUGGAGGCAAGAGCUUGCUCUCUAUGGCUCGCUCAGCUGCCUUGUUAUAGAACCCAGGACCACCUGUCCAGGGAUAACACCACUCACAAUGGGCUGAGUCCUCCCAUGUCAACCACUAAUUAAGGAAAUGUCCUACAGCUGGAUUUUUAAGUGGCUUUCCUGCAAUUGAGAUUCCCUCCUUUCAAGUGACUCUAGCUUGUGUCAAGUUGAUACAAAACUAGCCAGCACUCUGUGACUGGCUUUUUUUCAUCCACACAAUGUCCUUAGUGUUCAUCUACAUUGGAGAAAGUGUCUAAUUUCUUUUCUUUUCUUCCUUCUUUUGCUUGCUUUUCAGACAGGAUUUCUUCAUGUAGCUCUGGCUGGCCUGGAACUUAGCUGGUCACAAACUCAGAGAUCCACCUGUUUCUGCCUCCCCAGGGCUGAGGUUAAAUUUGUGUGCAGCCAUACUGAGAGGUCCCCUAAAAAUAAAAAACCUUAAAAAUUAAAUAAGAAAAAAAGAGUUUCGGUUUCCAAGAAAAGCCGAUUGGACUCCUCAGAGGGAGCUCCUGGAGAUAGGCUGUUAAUCACUGGUGGCUCUGUAGCCUUGGGCUGAGAUAGUUCCUGGAGUCUCCUCAACACCUCACC